GUCAGUAACACUAUGAAGGAAAAUGCCAGAGACUAGCUCUGCUGUCUUCAGUCAGUGCUCACAUGAAAUGACUAGUUAAGUCCUCCCACUAAAAGAAGGGUAUAGGCAUGAAGCAAUUUAUGUUAAAGGUAAAAUGCAUCACCAAAACGCCCCUCAAGUUUCUCUAUUCAAACUAGUUUCUUGAGCCAACUCAGCAAGAAUUAUAAUGCGGGAAAAACAUGUUUUUGCAGUCCUGUACACUUGACUCAAAUUACCAAUUUUUCACUUGCCAGGUGUGUGACUUUAGCAAAAUUACUUAAUUUUGCUGAAAACUCAUUGAUAAAAUAGAGACUUCUUUGAGAAUAAAAUGAUUUGAGGAGGAAGAGUAAAGUGAGAAUAAAUAUUUCAUUUGGAGUACUUGAAUAAACUGAAGACUAAUAUAAGAGUACCAUGCUGCCUCAGUUCACAAACUUAAUUCUUUCCAAGAUUCUAGUCAUGAACCGAAUCAAACAAACUUCCCCAUAAGGUCAACACUGAAACCUAACCAUUGAAUUUGACUCCAUUUUCGACCAGUUUGGUUUAAGACCAGAAUCUUGGAAAGAACUUGAUUCUUUCUGAGAUGCCACUGUAAUUGUAACACUAAUCUGGACAGUAAAGACAGAAACUCUCAAAGGAAAGCUCUGUCUCCCAGAUCUUCCAUGUCACAAUAGAUUUACAGGACAUAAAGCAGGACCUGACGUCACAUAAAGACCCUGAUGGUCAUCCUGGAUUUCAGAUUUGCCUAUGCUCUGUGUUUUCAGAGACAUUUCACAGUAUACAACUUGAACGGAUUUCAAGCCUAGUAUAGUCUUUGUCAUUCAAGGAUUGACCCCUCAGCUUCCCAAUCAAAGAGUCAUGAGUCCUACAGCCCAGCUGGGUCCUACCUGCCAUCUCGACUGGUGACAGCUGCACUAUGUGCUGCGGACAGAAGCUUGGCCCCGACAGCGGGUGCCACUAUUUACUGACACAGCUGUGGUCUGGUGAUGCAUGUCCCUCGUGCCCGGGGACUCUAAGGUUGGGUUUGGAAUCGCAAGGCCUUCAGGUGCCCAUGAACCCAUCUUGUCUUGUGAUGCCUUCCACCAGGUAUGUCCCAAAAUGAAAGUCUCUGCCCCCUUGAUCUGGGACUUCCCGUCUCCAGAACCGUGAGCAAAUACACACCUGUUCAUUAUAAAUUACUGGGUCUGUGGUAUUCUGUCUCAGCAGCACAAAAUAGACUAAGCCAGCUGGAAUCCUGGAUGACUCCUGGUGCAAGAGAAGCAUAGGAAAGAGAAAUGCACUGUAAAGGAUCAUUGAUUGUAACAGGAUACAGAGCAUGGAAGAAUUCUAUUGUGCUCUCACUUUCCCCUGUAAAUCAAGAAUGAUUCUUUUAAAAAGUCUCCCCCAAAGCGAUUUUGAAC
rnacentral:lncRNA from 1 species